rnacentral:rRNA from 1 species
AACGGUAGCACAGAGAGCUUGCUCUCGGGUGACGAGUGGCGGACGGGUGAGUAAUGUCUGGGAAACUGCCUGAUGGAGGGGGAUAACUACUGGAAACGGUAGCUAAUACCGCAUAACGUCGCAAGACCAAAGAGGGGGACCUUCGGGCCUCUUGCCAUCAGAUGUGCCCAGAUGGGAUUAGCUAGUAGGUGCGGUAACGGCUCACCUAGGCGACGAUCCCUAGCUGGUCUGAGAGGAUGACCAGCCACACUGGAACUGAGACACGGUCCAGACUCCUACGGGAGGCAGCAGUGGUGAAUAUUGCACAAUGGGCGCAAGCCUGAUGCAGCCAUGCCGCGUGUAUGAAGAAGGCCUUCGGGUUGUAAAGUACUCUUCAGCGGGGAGGAAGGCGUUCAGGUUAAUAACCUCGUCGAUUGACGUUACCCGCAGAAGAAGCACCGGCUAACUCCGU